rnacentral:rRNA from 1 species
AUACGUAGGGAGCGAGCGUUGUCCGGAAUUACUGGGCGUAAAGGGCGCGUAGGCGGCGCUUCAAGUCGUCUGUCAAAUGGGAGGGCUUAACCCUUUUUCGCAGACGAAACUGGAGAGCUUGAGAAGCAGAGAGGCAAACAGAAUUCCUGGUGUAGCGGUGAAAUGCGUAGAUAUCAGGAAGAACACCAGUGGCGAAGGCGGUUUGCUGGCUGCAUACUGACGCUGAAGCGCGAAAGCCAGGGGAGCAAACGGGAUUAGAUACCCCGGUAGUCCUGGCAGUAAACGAUGUAUGCUGGGUGUGAGACUAGCGAUAGUUUCGUGCCGAAGUUAACGCGAUAAGCAUACCGCCUGGGGAGUACGGUCGCAAGAUUGAAACUCAAAUGAAUUGACGGGG